GAUGAACGCCGGCGGUGUGCCUAAUACAUGCAAGUCGUACGCACUGGCCCAACUAAUUGAUGGUGCUUGCACCUGAUUGACGAUGGGUCACCAGCGAGCGGCGGACGGGUGAGUAACACGUGGGUAACCUGCCCAAGAGACUGGGAUAACACCUGGAAACAGAUGCUAAUACCGGAUAACAACACUAGACGCAUGUCUAGAGUUUGAAAGAUGGUUCUGCUAUCACUCUUGGAUGGACCUGCGGUGCAUUAGCUAGUUGGUAAGGUAACGGCUUACCAAGGCAAUGAUGCAUAGCCGAGUUGAGAGACUGAUCGGCCACAUUGGGACUGAGACACGGCCCAG
rnacentral:rRNA from 1 species